AGUUUUGCAACAGCUGGAGGUUCACAGUUUGAAUACCACAAAAAUAAAGGACCCAAAAUUCUACCACAGAAAUUAAAACUCCUUGAUAUCUGCUCCGGAAUGCAUUGCCGUCAAUGGAGACGUCUCAUGUCAUAGCGCCAAAAGCCCCCUGCCCGAGGCUUGCUGGUAUUGAAGAACAGCGGAUAGGCACGGCCCCAUCUCUAUAAAUACAUAUACACACCGCAGAACUUAUCGCAGUCAUGUGACCAGCAUCAGAUUAAGAAGAGGUGCUUAUUCAGCAGCCAAGUAAUUCCCGGCCACCUGUUCACCAACAUCAGCCUGUCAUCAAGGAUGCAACAACAGGCAUAGACUUGUGACACUGGAGGGAGCGCACAGAACCCGCAUUACCCUUUAGAGCGCACAACAGGCGACCUGGAGACUCUGGGAUAAAAUCCAGAUCCCGAAUCCAUACAGGCACCCGGAGAUCCAGCCAGUCGUUCCUCAACUGAAAAGACAGGU